GGAAUGUCUGGCAUGAGAGAUUCUGUCCAUGGAGCUAAAUCAACAGGGAAAUGCAAGGCCAGUUACCUUCCCUCUGAUGCACAGAGCUUAAGGUUUGGUUUGUAUGCCCUUCAUAAAUCAGUGUCCGUGCUAAGAAUCUGGUGAUGACAGAGAAAAACCUUUCCUUGGAGGGGCAGGCAGGUUGUGUCUUCACACACCACAAGUGCUUGUGAGCUGGAAUGACCAAAGAUGCAGCGGAAAACAUCAAAGGAAGGAUUGAGUGUGACCUUCAUGCAAGCAACUGUGAAGCAUAGAGCAGUGAGAUCAUGGUCCUUCUCACGAGGCCAGCCUGACCCCUGAAGAGGCACAUCCUAUGCAGGAACACUGUGAGUUUUGGGCGGCUUGGAAAACACUUCCAGUCAGUUUCUGUCAAGUUACUGAAAAGAUCUAUUUGAGAAGAAAGAAAUAUUUCUUUCUGAACAAGGUGGUCAUUAGAGUUAGUACUGAGCAGUAAACACCUUCUCCCACUGCUUCAAAACAGCUUUCCUUUUACUCACCUCUCUACUGAUUUUUGUUUUCUCCUGCCUCCUGGUCCAUCCUGCA